rnacentral:misc_RNA from 1 species
UCCGUAGGUGAACCUGCGGAGGGAUCAUUACCGAGUUAUCCAACUCCCAACCCCUGUGAAUCAUACCUUUAAUUGUUGCUUCGGCGGGACUUCGCGCCCGCCGGGGACCCAAACCUUCUGAAUUUUUUAAUAAGUAUCUUCUGAGUGGUUAAAAAAAAUGAAUCAAAACUUUCAACAACGGAUCUCUUGGUUCUGGCAUCGAUGAAGAACGCAGCGAAAUGCGAUAAGUAAUGUGAAUUGCAGAAUUCAGUGAAUCAUCGAAUCUUUGAACGCACAUUGCGCCCGUCAGUAUUCUGGCGGGCAUGCCUGUUCGAGCGUCAUUACGCCCCUCAAGUCCCCUGUGGACUUGGUGUUGGGGAUCGGCGAGGCUGGUUUUCCAGCACAGCCGUCCCUUAAAUUAAUUGGCGGUCUCGCCGUGGCCCUCCUCUGCGCAGUAGUAAAGCACUCGCAACAGGAGCCCGGCGCGGUCCACUGCCGUAAAACCCCCCAACUUUUUAUAGUUGACCUCGAAUCAGGUAGGACUACCCGCUGAACUUAAGCAUAU